rnacentral:rRNA from 1 species
UGGGUGUGCAGCCGCCGCGGUAAUACAGAGGUCUCAAGCGUUGUUCGGAAUCACUGGGCGUAAAGCGUGCGUAGGCUGUUUCGUAAGUCGUGUGUGAAAGGCGCGGGCUCAACCCGCGGACGGCACAUGAUACUGCGAGACUAGAGUAAUGGAGGGGGAACCGGAAUUCUCGGUGUAGCAGUGAAAUGCGUAGAUAUUAGGAGGAACACCAGUGGCGAAGGCGGCUUACUGGACGGUAACUGACGUUGAGGCUCGAAAGCGUGGGGAGCAAACAGG